rnacentral:rRNA from 1 species
CCUACGGGAGGCAGCAGUGGGGAAUAUUGCGCAAUGGGCGAAAGCCUGACGCAGCGACGCCGCGUGAGGGAUGAAGGUCUUCGGAUCGUAAACCUCUGUCAGCAGGGAAGAACGGUCACUGUGCUAAUCAGCAGUGAAUUGACGGUACCUGCAAAGGAAGCACCGGCGAACUCCGUGCCAGCAGCCGCGGUAAUACGGAGGGUGCGAGCGUUAAUCGGAAUUACUGGGCGUAAAGCGCUCGUAGGCGGUAUGUCAAGUCAAGGGUGAAAUCCCCGCGCUCAACGUGGGAACUGCCUUUGAAACUGGCAGACUGGAGUGUGUGAGAGGAUAGUGGAAUUCCAGGUGUAGGAGUGAAAUCCGUAGAUAUCUGGAGGAACAUCAGUGGCGAAGGCGACUAUCUGGCACAUAACUGACGCUGAGGAGCGAAAGCGUGGGUAGCAAACAGGAUUAGAUACCCUGGUAGUC